rnacentral:pre_miRNA from 1 species
CCCAUAAGUAAUAAAAGAUCCGUUUAGGUCCCUUAACUUUAUUUAAAGUAUCAGUUUGGUCUCUUAUGUUAAUUUAAUUCAAAAAAACGUUAAGUUUAGGGACCAAACAAAUACUAAUUAAAUAAGUUAAGGGACCAAACUAAUACUAGUUAAAUAAGUCAAGGGAUACCACUGCCAAUGUUUCCCUUUUAAAGGCA